rnacentral:rRNA from 1 species
GCUCCCUGAUGUUAGCGGCGGACGGGUGAGUAACACGUGGGUAACCUGCCUGUAAGACUGGGAUAACUCCGGGAAACCGGGGCUAAUACCGGAUGGUUGUUUGAACCGCAUGGUUCAGACAUAAAAGGUGGCUUCGGCUACCACUUACAGAUGGACCCGCGGCGCAUUAGCUAGUUGGUGAGGUAACGGCUCACCAAGGCGACGAUGCGUAGCCGACCUGAGAGGGUGAUCGGCCACACUGGGACUGAGACACGGCCCAGACUCCUACGGGAGGCAGCAGUAGGGAAUCUUCCGCAAUGGACGAAAGUCUGACGGAGCAACGCCGCGUGAGUGAUGAAGGUUUUCGGAUCGUAAAGCUCUGUUGUUAGGGAAGAACAAGUGCCGUUCAAAUAGGGCGGCACCUUGACGGUACCUAACCAGAAAGCCACGGCUAACUACGUGCCAGCAGCCGCGGUAAUACGUAGGUGGCAAGCGUUGUCCGGAAUUAUUGGGCGUAAAGGGCUCGCAGGCGGUUUCUUAAGUCUGAUGUGAAAGCCCCCGGCUCAACCGGGGAGGGUCAUUGGAAACUGGGGAACUUGAGUGCAGAAGAGGAGAGUGGAAUUCCACGUGUAGCGGUGAAAUGCGUAGAGAUGUGGAGGAACACCAGUGGCGAAGGCGACUCUCUGGUCUGUAACUGACGCUGAGGAGCGAAAGCGUGGGGAGCGAACAGGAUUAGAUACCCUGGUAGUCCACGCCGUAAACGAUGAGUGCUAAGUGUUAGGGGGUUUCC